CAAAAACAAGCUACUUCCUUCACUCGCAGUGAAAGCUUUGCCCCCAACUUAUAAGGUUCGGAUCUCAUCUGCAAUUUCGCUCUAUUGUUGUGUUGUGGUAUUCUUCUACUCUGUCUUAAGUUUAUUAUAUUUAAAAAUCUGUAUUUGGUUGCUUUUGUACCUUUUUUCACUCAAAGAUUCCACUCGUGCACACUUAGAAACUUGAAGAUCGAUGUAUGAGGCUUAAUUAUCUGGCUGUAUUAGUUCUGUUUGAUUAAUAAAUGAAGCGGAUUUUGUGUUUGAACAGUGUGAUUUUGGGUGUAUAAUUGGAACGAUUUGUUGAUCUGUGCUCUGCUUCUAGGGUUUGUGAAUGUAGUUUUGGUACUGCAUUCAUUACCUCGGAUUGGAUGUCGCCAAAAGAAUCCAACUUUUUUAUCCAGUAAAGCCUUUUUCUUGAAUAAUUUUACUGCCAUGUCUUUAUCUUGAUAUGUAUCAAAGUUGGAAAGAAGAAGAUACAGAAAAGUAUCUAAGAAUUAGAAGGAGAAUAGAGAAGCUUUUUGUAAAUUCAAUUCUGCAUGCCAUAAUCAAAUACUACUGGCUAAUAAAUAGCCUUACAAGAAAGCAAAUAACAACUACCCAUGACUCCACUAUUCGACUAACUGACCCACUAAUUAACUGAACCCACUAAUUAAACUGACUCACAAUAUUAGUAAUUAACUAAAAAAGAAAUAUGAAGAACGUGGGCAUGCAGGUGGUAGCGUAGACACGUAUCAUAUCUACAAGAGGUGUUUGAAUGUGUAAUUUUCAAAGUGAUUUCUGCCACUUUAAGAAUUAAAUAAUCACACAAUUAGUGAUUUCCUAUUGCAACUGCUUAAAUGCACAUCCAAACAAGUAGUUUUCUUUCUUUUUAUUGAAACUCGACUUCCACCCUUUGAACUAUUGCUCAAUAUUAAAAUUUGGAGUUAAAGCUGUUUUCAAUAUUAUUACUGUGGGUACAAGAUUUAAUUGAUGUAUAGCACUUUCUAUAAUUAUCAAGAAAUUGUUUGUUCUCACGCUUAUAUAGUUGGAUCUUCAUUGUGAUAUCUAUAUCUGCAAAAUGCUGUUUGUAUUGUUGUGGGGGUCCCCCUGAACAUGCAACACCCACCACUACCACAAACUAAUAUGGAUUGACCAAAAGUUGAAGUGGCAUACCUUCUUAAUUGUUGUUGCAAAAACGUGUAUGCCCGGACACGCCACGCCAGGCCCAACACGUACCAUACCUUCUAGGUGGUACAACUAUUCCGAGCCCGGUCUAUUAGGGUUGGCCCAACCUUCCCAUACAGAAUAGAGGAAUAUUGGGCCAGCCUAAUGGACCAAUCAGGGAUGGGAUGGAGCGAACCACUCUACCAGCCUGUAAUAGGGAUAGGGGUACCCUCUACAAUUCUACAUAUACAUCAAAAAGACAUAUUGACUGGUUGAUUAGCAUGCGACUUGAGAACCUUAUUGUAGAAGUUGCUUUUUCAUUCAUAAGCCUGAUGAAAACAUAAUUUCCGCAAUUUCUUUGUUCAAUUGCUGUUGUUCCGGACAACAAUAAUGCAAGUGGAGCAACUUUCAGAUCUGGCUACCAAGAGAGAAAUUCACAAGUUUUGCGGCGAAAUCGAGCACAUCUAGAUCUAUCGUGAUUCUUGAAGAAAGAAGACUGCAUUCGUGACAUUAAAAGCUCUUGAAAUUGCACUAUGAUGAAAUUACAACAUCAGCAAGGGAGGUACGAACGAUCUCAAGGGUGGUCUAGAGGAGAUCUAAAGUCAAAGGACUAAAGGAGUAAAAUAAUAAUUAAAGUUAUUUAAUUAUUAUAUGAAUUAUCUAUAAGUAUUAGUUUUAUUAUUAUUUGUUUAGGUAAGUAUUGUUUAGUAUUAUCUGGCGUACCAUAUUCAACACACGAUUGUUGUCGGUUUACUGUUUAAUCGUUUUGAGAUUACUUAUUGCAAGACAUAUUUAUACACUGAUCA